rnacentral:rRNA from 1 species
CGAACGGGUGCGUAACACGUGAGCAACCUACCGAAAUGAGGGGGAUAGCCGGCCCAACGGCCGGGUAAUACCGCAUACGCUCGAGACCAGGCAUUUGGACUCGAGGAAACCUCCGGGGCAUUUCGAGGGGCUCGCGGCCUAUCAGCUAGUUGGUGAGGUAACGGCUCACCAAGGCGACGACGGGUAGCUGGUCUGAGAGGAUGGCCAGCCACAUUGGGACUGAGAUACGGCCCAG